rnacentral:rRNA from 1 species
GAUGAACGCUGGCGGCGUGCCUAACACAUGCAAGUCGAGCGAACGGACGAGAAGCUUGCUUCCCUGAUGUUAGCGGCGGACGGCUGAGUAACACGUGGAUAACCUACCUAUAAUACUGGGAUAACUUCGGGACACCGGAGCUAAUACCGGAUAAUAUUUCGAACCGCAUGGUUCAAAAGUGAAAGACGGUCUUGCUGUCACUUAUAGGUGGAUCUGCGCUGCAUUAGCUAGCUGGUAAGGUAACGGCGUACCAAGGCAACGAUGCAGAGCCGACCCGGGAGAGUGAUCGGCCACCCUGGAACUGGAACACGGUCCAGACUCCUGCGAGAGGCAGCAGUAGGGAAUCUUCCGCAGUGGGCGAGAGCCUGACGGAGCGACGCCACGUGAGUGAUGAAGGUCUUCGGAUCGUAAAACUCUGUUAUUAGGGAAGAACAUAUGUGUGAGUAGCUGUGCACAUCUUGACGGUACCUAAUCAGAAAGCCACGGCUAACUACGUG